UACGGAGGAUCCAAGCGUUAUCCGGAUUUAUUGGGUUUAAAGGGUGCGUAGGCGGCUUUUUAAGUCAGGGGUGAAAGACGGUGGCUCAACCAUCGCAGUGCCUUUGAUACUGAGAAGCUUGAUUAAACUUGAGGCAGGCGGAAUGUGACAAGUAGUGGUGAAAUGCAUAGAUAUGUCACAGAACACCGAUUGCGAAGGCAGCUUACUAAGGUUUAAUGACGCUGAGGCACGAAAGCGUGGGGAUCAAACAGG
rnacentral:rRNA from 1 species